UACGAAGGGGGCUAGCGUUGUUCGGAAUCACUGGGCGUAAAGCGCACGCAGGCGGAUCGUUAAGUCGGGGGUGAAAGCCCGAGGCUCAACCUCGGAAUUGCCUUCGAUACUGGCGAUCUUGAGUCCGGGAGAGGUGAGUGGAACUCCUAGUGUAGAGGUGAAAUUCGUAGAUAUUAGGAAGAACACCAGUGGCGAAGGCGGCUCACUGGCCCGGUACUGACGCCGAGGUGCGAAAGCGUGGGGAGCAAACAGG
rnacentral:rRNA from 1 species